CCUACGGGUGGCUGCAGUGAGGGAUAUUGGUCAAUGGAGGAAACUCUGAACCAGCAACGCCGCGUGAGGGAAGACGGCUCUCGGAUUGUAAACCUCUGUUCACUGUGAAGAUAAUGACGCUAGCAGAGGAGGAAGCUCCGGCUAACUACGUGCCAGCAGGCGCGGUAAUACGGAGGGAGCGAGCGUUGUCCGGAUUUACUGGGUGUAAAGGGUGCGUAGGCGGGUAAGCAAGUCAGUAGUGAAAUCCAUGGGCUUAAACCAUGAAAUGCCUUUGAAACUGUUUAUCUUGAGUGGAGUAGAGGUGAGCGGAAUUCGCGGUGUAGCGGUGAAAUGCGUAGAGAUCGGGAAGAACAACGAUUGCGAAGGCCGCCCACUGGGCUUUAACUGACGCUGAAGCACGAAAGUGUGGGUAGCAAACAGGAAUAGAUACCCCAGUAGUC
rnacentral:rRNA from 1 species